rnacentral:lncRNA from 1 species
GUCCACAACUUCACGUCACUUCAAAUAUACCACCCGAGCCACAUACCUUUUAUCACACUGCUGCUGAGCCAUUCCUGCCAGACCAUACCGUUCAAACCAAGCCAGAAAUGGGGGAAUCUUCCGCUCCCGUUGAUAUAAAGCUACUCAAACGCCUUGACCGUUUUGAUGAGUUUAUGAGAAAGAGUCAGGGGUUGAACAAGCAAGGAGUCCUGGAUUACGAUGAGCUUUGUCUCUUUCCAAAUGUGCAAUUGCCUGAGGGGUUCAAAACCCCUAAGUUUAACAAGUACGAUGGGACGGAUAAUCCCAAGACACACCUCCG